UUUCAAGUUAUCGUCAACGAGGCAAACUUCACGGGGCAGGAAAGUUAUGCGCAAUUUCUUGCAAUAUUUGUGCUCUGAGAGAGGAGUAUGAGAUUGGAGGUGCGUCCGUGCGAUCAUGUAGCUCCUUAGCGGAGACAUGUCAAAUAGGUGAGACGGUGGGAGGGAAAGAAGGCAGCUGAUGGACCUGAGCGGGAGGGAAACCACACCUAACAAACACCUGCUCUGGGGCCCGCACUCGUCCUGUGUGGAAGCUGGGUCUGUGCGUGGCCAAGACUGAACUGAUGUCUUCUCUGAACUUUCCAGGCGCUGGAUUUGCGUAUACUUCAGUCUCCCCGCAAAGCGCACUGUGGCUACAUCCAGGAGCAAAACGGCUGAAACUUCUUGCCCGGUGCCUCUCGUCCAGAUAGUCACUGGCCCAUUUCAAGCAGACUUCUCUCAGCCUCCUGCCUUCAGUCUCUCGGAGAGACACCCCCCAACUUUCCAGAGAAAUCAAUCCUUCCAGAGAUUCAGCUUUGAGUCACGGUACGUGUAGGCAAGCCCAAGAGCGUGUAGAACCCUCCACUGCAGUCACCCAGGACUCAGGUACCACGACACAUCCUU
rnacentral:lncRNA from 1 species